rnacentral:lncRNA from 1 species
CAAAAUACAACUAAGUAAUCUAAUACAAAAUGAUGAAAUCAGUGAGAAUGGGCAUUGAGCUCAAGUUCAAGAUCGAUGAAACAUAUCAGCCUCGUCCUCGAUCGAAAAGUCUGAUCCGAGAAAAAGAUAUUGGAAGAUGAAAUACAAUGGACUGGACAAAGAUUGGCUCACUGGAUGUAGAGGGCCUAGACUGAAGCUGAGUCAUAAUGACAUCAAGCUGGGACAAGAUCCCCCUCACUGUAAGUUGGAGCCCAUUU